AGUGAACGCUGGCGGUAGGCCUAACACAUGCAAGUCGAACGGCAGCACAGUAAGAGCUUGCUCUUACGGGUGGCGAGUGGCGGACGGGUGAGGAAUACAUCGGAAUCUACUUUUUCGUGGGGGAUAACGUAGGGAAACUUACGCUAAUACCGCAUACGACCUACGGGUGAAAGCAGGGGAUCUUCGGACCUUGCGCGAUUGAAUGAGCCGAUGUCGGAUUAGCUAGUUGGCGGGGUAAAGGCCCACCAAGGCGACGAUCCGUAGCUGGUCUGAGAGGAUGAUCAGCCACCCUGGAACUGAGACACGGUCCAGACUCCUACGGGAGGCAGCAGUGGGGAAUAUUGGACAAAGGGCGCAAGCCUGAUCCAGCCAUACCGCGUGGGUGAAGAAGGCCUUCGGGUUGUAAAGCCCUUUUGUUGGGAAAGAAAAGCAGCAGGUGAAUACCCCGCUGUUCUGACGGUACCCAAAGAAUAAGCACCGGCUAACUUCGUG
rnacentral:rRNA from 1 species